CAGCAUCAGCGGCUGUGGGGUGGACAGAUGGGUAGAUGGUGGGAGCUGGGCAGACAGAAGGUAGAGCCAGGUGAAUGGUAGACAAGUGAAAGCUCGUGGAUGAAUAAUGGUAGAUGAUGGGUGGGUGGGUGGUAGGUGGCAUAUGGGUAGUGGACAGACACACAGGGCAGAGACAGACAUAGAUGACAGGCGGCAGGUAGCUGUGUGGAUAACGGGAUGCAGAUACAGAAGAUGUUUAUAACAGACUCACAGAUGGUCGACAGGUAGCUGGGCAG